rnacentral:lncRNA from 1 species
CUUAAGCAAAUACCUUAAGGCUAAAGACAGCAAAGUCUUCACCACCCUGCCCUGCAGUGGCAGGAUCUGGCCUGGCCCUGCGCGGCUGCCAGUUUCAUGAGUGCUUGAGGACUGGUGGGACUGCAGAGGUACCCAAGGAGAAGCGAAUCCUCACUUCUCUCCCCUGGGAAGCCCAGGGGCUCAAGUACCCCAGCUGAAAGAGUCUGAGACUGGAAGGUGCCUAAUACCCACCACCUGAUCCAAUCCACCUGACUCUUCCUCCCUGGUGACUCCUGACCACACAGACCUCUGUUUUCUGAGUGCCAACAGCUGUGCAGUCUGAACCACACUGCCGGCGGAAAGUGAGGUAUUCUAGGUCUUCUAGGUUAGUUUUGUCUCCCAGUGGUUCCUUGAGGCCCGGGACUGUAUCACAAGCACUUGUGAGACAUCAGAA